AAUCCAUAGGUUAAUGAGGCGAACCGGGGGAACUGAAACAUCUAAGUACCCCGAGGAAAAGAAAUCAACCGAGAUUCCCCCAGUAGCGGCGAGCGAACGGGGAGGAGCCCAGAGCCUGAAUCAGCAUGUGUGUUAGUGGAAGCGUCUGGAAAGGCGCGCGAUACAGGGUGACAGCCCCGUACACAAAAGCGCAUGUGCUGUGAGCUCGAUGAGUAGGGCGGGACACGUGGUAUCCUGUCUGAAUAUGGGGGGACCAUCCUCCAAGGCUAAAUACUCCUGACUGACCGAUAGUGAACCAGUACCGUGAGGGAAAGGCGAAAAGAACCCCGGCGAGGGGAGUGAAAAAGAACCUGAAACCGUGUACGUACAAGCAGUGGGAGCACCCUUUGGGGUGUGACUGCGUACCUUUUGUAUAAUGGGUCAGCGACUUAUAUUCUGUAGCAAGGUUAACCGCAUAGGGGAGCCGGAGGGAAACCGAGUCUUAAUUGGGCGUUAAGUUGCAGGGUAUAGACCCGAAACCCGGUGAUCUAGCCAUGGGCAGGUUGAAGGUUGGGUAACACUAACUGGAGGACCGAACCGACUAAUGUUGAAAAAUUAGCGGAUGACCUGUGGCUGGGGGUGAAAGGCCAAUCAAACCGGGAGAUAGCUGGUUCUCCCCGAAAGCUAUUUAGGUAGCGCCUCGUGAACUCAUCUCCGGGGGUAGAGCACUGUUUCGGCUAGGGGGCCAUCCCGGCUUACCAACCCGAUGCAAACUGCGAAUACCGGAGAAUGUUAUCACGGGAGACACACGGCGGGUGCUAACGUCCGUCGUGAAGAGGGAAACAACCCAGACCGCCAGCUAAGGUCCCAAAGUCAUGGUUAAGUGGGAAACGAUGUGGGAAGGCCCAGACAGCCAGGAUGUUGGCUUAGAAGCAGCCAUCAUUUAAAGAAAGCGUAAUAGCUCACUGGUCGAGUCGGCCUGCGCGGAAGAUGUAACGGGGCUAAACCAUGCACCGAAGCUGCGGCAGCGACGCUUAUGCGUUGUUGGGUAGGGGAGCGUUCUGUAAGCCUGCGAAGGUGGCCUGUGAGGGUUGCUGGAGGUAUCAGAAGUGCGAAUGCUGACAUAAGUAACGAUAAAGCGGGUGAAAAGCCCGCUCGCCGGAAGACCAAGGGUUCCUGUCCAACGUUAAUCGGGGCAGGGUGAGUCGACCCCUAAGGCGAGGCCGAAAGGCGUAGUCGAUGGGAAACGGGUUAAUAUUCCCGUACUUGGUGUUACUGCGAAGGGGGGACGGAGAAGGCUAUGUUGGCCGGGCGACGGUUGUCCCGGUUUAAGCGUGUAGGUGUGUGUUCCAGGUAAAUCCGGUU
rnacentral:rRNA from 1 species